GAUGAACGCUGGCGGCGUGCCUAAUACAUGCAAGUCGAGCGAACAGACGAGGAGCUUGCUCCUCUGACGUUAGCGGCGGACGGGUGAGUAACACGUGGAUAACCUACCUAUAAGACUGGGAUAACUUCGGGAACCCGGAGCUAAUACCGGAUAAUAUAUUGAACCGCAUGGUUCAAUAGUGAAAGACGGUUUUGCUGUCACUUAUAGAUGGAUCCGCGCCGCGUUAGCUAGUUGGUAGGGUAACGGCUUACCAAGGCAACGAUGCGUAGCCGACCUGAGGGGAUGAUCAGUCCAACGGGAACUGAGACACGGUCCCGACGCCUACGGGAGGCAGCAGGGGGGAAGAUUGGAUGAUGGGCGAAAGCCUGAUGCAGCCAUGUCUCGUGUGUGAAGAAGGUAUUAGGAUGGUAAAGAACUUUAAGUUGGGAGGAAGGGCAGUAAGGUAAUACCUUGCUGUUUUGACGUUACCAACAGAAUAAGCACCGGCUAACUUCGUG
rnacentral:rRNA from 1 species